AUAAGCCUACGGGGCGCAGCAGUGGGGAAUAUUGCACAAUGGGGGAAACCCUGAUGCAGCGACGCCGCGUGAGUGAGGAAGUAUUUCGGUAUGUAAAGCUCUAUCAGCAGGGAAGAAAAUGACGGUACCUGACCAAGAAGCCCCGGCUAACUACGUGCCAGCAGCCGCGGUAAUACGUAGGGAGCAAGCGUUCUCCGGAUUUACUGGGUGUAAAGGGCGUGUAGGCGGGCCUGCAAGUCAGAAGUGAAAUCUGGGGGCUUAACCCCUAAACUGCUUUUGAAACUGUGGGUCCUGAGUGAUGGAGG
rnacentral:rRNA from 1 species